GCGCACCAGUCGCGAAUCUUCCACAAUGGACGAAAGUCUGAUGGAGCGACGCCGCGUGAUUGAUGAAGUCCCUCUGGGACGUAAAGAUCUUUUAUGAGGGAAGAAGUUUAUUGACUGUACCUCAUGAAUAAGAGGCUCCUAAUCUCGUGCCAGCAGGAGCGGUAAUACGAGAGCCUCGAGCGUUAUCCGGAAUUAUUGGGCGUAAAGGGUGCGUAGGUUGUUCUGUUAGUCUUUUGUUAAAUCUCUGGGCUCAACCUGGAAAGUGCGAAAGAAACGGCAGAACUUGAAGGUGUGAGAGGCGUACGGAACUCAUGGUGUAGGGGUGAAAUCCGUUGAUAUCAUGGGGAACACCAAAAGCGAAGGCAGUACGCUGGCGCAUAUUUGACACUGAAGCACGAAAGCGUGGGUAGCGAAUGGGAUUAGAUACCCGUGUAGU
rnacentral:rRNA from 1 species